rnacentral:lncRNA from 1 species
AAGAGCGCCAUGAGCACCAUUGACCUGGACUCGCUGAUGGCAGAGCACAGCGCUGCCUGGUACAUGCCCGCUGACAAGGCCCUGGUGGACAGCGCGGACGACGACAAGACGUUGGCGCCCUGGGAGAAGGCCAAACCCCAGAACCCCAACAGCAAAGAAGCCCACGACCUCCCUGCAAACAAGGCCUCAGCAACCCAGCCUGGCAGCCACUUGCAGUGCCUGUCUGUCCACUGCACAGACGACGUGGGUGACGCCAAGGCUCGAGCCUCCGUGCCCACCUGGCGGUCCCUGCAUUCUGACAUCUCCAACAGAUUUGGGACAUUCGUGGCUGCCCUAACUUGAAUGACAAGAAAGACCCCCUCCUCUACCAGGCCCUAUCCUCUCCCCCUGUCUGUUUCCUUCCCCCUCAACCUGACCCCACCCCUCUGUUAAUUUGAAAGGGCCACUAUUGCUGAGUGGAUGAGUUUUUUUUUUUUCUCUAGGUUGGUACCUGCUUAGUGGCAUAUGGACCGGAAAGGGUUAAUUUAAAGGGGGGGAACCUCAAAAGUUUUUUUAAAAAAGAAACUUGUCUGCCACAGUAUGUUGCCAGUGUUAACCCUUCUGCAGUUAGCAAACUUUUGCUUAAGCCUUUUUCCUCUAGAUACUCCCCAUGUUUCGGUAAUCUUGGCAUACAUUUUUUAGAUGACCUCUUUCCUUGUUUUAUUUUCAUGCUGCUGUAUGUCCAAGUAUUGUUAUUUCAUAAUAAGACAAGAGUUGCUUUCUUUUUUAUUCUUUUUCCUUUUCUCACCCCCUCCCCUUUUAUUUUCUUUUUGCUUUGUUCACUGCUUAUUAAAAUGGAAAUCCUGGAGAAUAGUAGUUCUGGAGUAUUGCCGGGUGAAAGUCCAAUUGUCAUCACAAUGUUAUAUAUUGACACCCCAGUGUCAUCAGUCUGGCAGGAGCCAAACAAUGAAUGCCCCCCUUAGGUAUUCCGCCUGGGAUUUUGUUUUGUCUGUUCCCUAAGAAAAUAUAUUUUCAUUCCUGCAAACACAGUGCUCAGCCUUCAGUUCCCUUCCACUUGAGUUCUCUCUUCUCCUGCUGGAAGCCGCCCCUCUCUGCGAUGGACGUGAGGACGUGUCCAGCUCUGCUCUGUGGGAAGGAGUUGGAAUGUUCGACAGUAGUGUUUUCUCUCCUUUUCUGGGCCUCCUCGCAAAUGCCCAGGCCCUGCAUUUUCACGCUGUGCUAAGCAGCCUUUGGUCUGCAUGGGGGAGGGUGUGCUCCCAGCCUGCAGUCUUUGGAGCAAGGCUGCUGCCCUUGCUGCAGCCAGGCUGGCUGUGCCUCGGGCGCUGGAGUUGAAGGAGGCUGUUCUCAGCCCUUUCCCUUUUCUGAAAGCUGUUCCUGGCCUGGCAUCCCAGGGAAGAAGGAGGGGACUGCGUGUAUCUCCUCCACCUCUCCCAUUCCAUCCCCAGUCCAACCUGGGCAACCCCACCCCUGGGAGGGAUGAGGCACCCUCUUGCUCAGCCUGCUCAGCCUUCUCUGAGCCUUUGCAGGGAUCUGCAGACUCCUGAGGGCUAGAGGACAGAGAAAGAGAAUAGAAUGAAAUGACUUUGUUUCCUGCGCCUUUUAGUUUUGAACUCUGGAAUUCCUCUGCCCCCUCCCCAACAUUUUUUUGGAAUCUCACCCUGUUGCAAAACUAGAGCCAUGUCCCAAGCAUCUCACAAAGGAAUAACUGCUCUGAGCAGAGAUGAGUGGUGGUUGGCAGGGACAGGCAACUUUGGGUGCUGCUGAUGCCUGCAAAAGCCAUUUAUGGCUUUUGGUGGGGGGCAUAUAGAUUCCCGGGUGGGUUAGACAGGAAGUAACUGAUAUCACUUCACCCAAAUCCGUGAUGGUUAUAUAUUUAAUUUCAGUUUUUGUUAACGAUCGUGUCUUACUAAAACGCUCCACUUUGAGCUCCCCCACCCCCUCCAGGUCCUCAGAGUUUGCAGAUCUGGGCUUUUUUUAGCAAGUGACCUGAAGGCUCUGGGCUCACCGUACAACACCCACAUUGUUUAUUUCAAAGAACUUUUCAGCGAAGGGAGAGGAGCUUUCAGAAAAACCUCACUCUUUCCCCUCCCUUCUCCCCUCUUUCCUUCUGCCGGUCCUUUUGGCUGGGGUCUGAGUCUGCGGUUCUCGCCUGGGCAGUCUUGACGAGGAGCAAACCCCGCCUUCAGAGGGCAGACAAAGCAGGUGGCAUGAAUUGAUCAGCGAGAAAGGUGUGAGCCGAGGCAGUUCCUGCGUUCUGCUACAAAAGGAAUGGAAAGGGAAGGGAAUCUCCCCCCACCAUGGGCUGUGGGAGAGUUGACCGUAUUCUGGGCAAGACUCCAUGACCCCUCUGAUUCUGCAGUGUACAGCUGUUUGAGAGCCUCAUCAUUUUACUUUUGAAACAGGAAUGAUUUCUCCUUAAUUGCUUAAGGCCGGGGAGCAAAGUGUCUUAACUUCUGUCUUUGACUUUCCCAGCGUUGAGUCAUCAACACUUUGCCAAUUAGCUCACGGUCCUGGCAACCUCAGAAACCCCUGAAGUUUUAAAAACUUUCUCGCUCCCCACGACCCCAGAAUGAAACAGCUUUAAAAAUAGCCUUAAGCAAAAGGAUGUUAUUUCAUUAAAUUUGGUUUAAUGGAAAGAAUAAAAGUAAAUGAAAAACACACCCUACACACUAGACUCCGAACACUGGUAAUCAGUACUGCAUAGCAAACUCUUUGGGAAAGAAAACGAAAAUGUUAUUGCACAUGUAAAAUAUGAAAACUUAACUCUGCUGUGUGUUAGGCAAUCCUGUAAUCUUUUUUGACUCUUAAAAGAAAUUCAUUUCUGAAAUGCUUGGUUGGAAGACUGUGACAAUAGCUCAUGAAAUUGAGUGUUAUUUUUUUCUUUCUUUUUUAAAAAAAUAUGUAAAGUGCAGUCUUCUGUAUUCCUGCAUAUUGUAUAUACCUGUAUAUGUUUCCUGAGCAGUUAAAUAACAAUAAAUAUGACGUUAAUGGUGAC